UACGAAGGGUGCAAACGUUGCUCGGAAUCAUUGGGCGUAAAGAGCUCGUAGGCGGCCACUCAAGUCGAAUGUGAAACCUCGAGGCUUAACCUCGAGCCUGCAUUCGAUACUGGGCGGCUAGAGUCUGGUAGGGGGAUCUGGAAUUCCUGGUGUAGCGGUGGAAUGCGCAGAUAUCAGGAGGAACACCGGUGGCGAAGGCGGGAUCCUGGGCCAGUACUGACGCUGAGGAGCGAAAGCGUGGGGAGCAAACAGG
rnacentral:rRNA from 1 species